rnacentral:rRNA from 1 species
GACGAACCACACAAACGUUAUUCGGAAUUACUGGGCUUAAAGGGUGCGUAGGCUGUGCGGAAAGUUGGGUGUGAAAUCCCCCGGCUCAACCGGGGAAUUGCGCCCAAAACUACCGUGCUUGAGGAAGACAGAGGUGAGCGGAACUUCGGGUGGAGCGGUGAAAUGCGUUGAUAUCCGAAGGAACACCGGUGGCGAAAGCGGCUCACUGGGUCUUUUCUGACGCUGAUGCACGAAAGCGCGGGGAGCAAACAGG